UCUGGGUAUUAUGUGUAUGAGUGUGUUUGACACAACCCUAUCCCUGUAAGCCUGAAGCAUAUGGGAGUGACCUUGAUGACACCCCCAUUCUUUCCUAGGAAUGGGUCUUCCAGAUGCUAUCGCGGCAGAACAAUUACACCGUCAACAACAAGAGAAAUGGAGUAGCCAAAGUCAACAUCUUCUUCAAGGAGCUGAACUACAAAACCAAUUCUGAGUCUCCCUCUGUCACGAUGGUCACCCUCCUGUCCAACUUGGGCAGCCAGUGGAGCCUGUGGUUCGGCUCCUCGGUGUUGUCUGUGGUGGAGAUGGCCGAGCUCAUCUUUGACCUGCUGGUCAUCACGUUCCUCAUGCUGCUUCGAAGGUUCCGAAGCCGAUACUGGUCUCCAGGCCGAGGGGGCAGG
rnacentral:sRNA from 1 species